rnacentral:rRNA from 1 species
GCUUCCUACGGGAGGCAGCAGUGGGGAAUUUUGGACAAUGGGCGCAAGCCUGAUCCAGCCAUGCCGCGUGCGGGAAGAAGGCCUUCGGGUUGUAAACCGCUUUUGUCAGGGAAGAAAAGGUUCUUUUUAAUAAAGAGGACUCAUGACGGUACCUGAAGGAUAAGCACCGGCUAACUACGUGCCAGCAGCCGCGGUAAUACGUAGGGUGCAAGCGUUAAUCGGAAUUACUGGGCGUAAAGCGUGCGCAGGCGGUGAUGCAAGACAGAGGUGAAAUCCCCGGGCUCAACCUGGGAACUGCCUUUGUGACUGCAUGACUAGAGUACGGUAGAGGGGGAUGGAGUUCCGCGUGUAGCAGUGAAAUGCGUAGAUAUGCGGAGGAACACCGAUGGCGAAGGCAAUCCCCUGGACCUGUACUGACGCUCAUGCACGAAAGCGUGGGGAGCAAACAGGAUUAGAUACCCUGGUAGUCCACGCCCUAAACGAUGUCAACUGGUUGUUGGGAGGGUUUCUUCUCAGUAACGAAGCUAACGCGUGAAGUUGACCGCCUGGGGAGUACGGCCGCAAGGUUGAAACUC